UGUAAUUUCGCUUUCCCUAUAAAUGACCACCCAUCUUCUACCUCCUAUCUCCAAACCCUUUUUUCGGCCGCUGCACCCCAAGGAGCUUUUAAGAAGUGCGGGUUUUAGGGUUUUCAAUGGCUCCUACAAAGGGGGACAUUACCAAAAAGAGUGAUCCUAAAGCUCAGGCCUUGAAGGCGGCCAAGGCUGUGAAAUCAGGUGGCCAAGUGAUUAAGAAGAAAGCCAAGAAGAUCAGAACAUCUGUCACAUUUCACAGGCCAAAGACAUUGACAAAGGAAAGGAACCCUAAGUAUCCUCGCAUUAGUGCGACACCAAGAAACAAGUUGGACCAUUACCAAAUUCUUAAAUUUCCUCUAACUACUGAGUCUGCGAUGAAGAAAAUCGAAGAUAACAAUACCUUAGUUUUUAUUGUUGACCUACGUGCUGACAAAAAGAAAAUUAAAGAUGCUGUGAAGAAAAUGUAUGACAUUCAGGCAAAGAAAGUAAACACUUUGAUCAGGCCUGAUGGUACCAAGAAAGCCUAUGUUAGGUUGACUCCAGAUUAUGAUGCAUUGGAUGUUGCCAACAAAAUUGGUAUCAUCUAAGUUGUUCUGCUAAUUUGAGCAGAGUCAAUCCAUCGAUUUUAAGAUAGUUGAUAUACAUACCUUGUGUUAGGACUCCUUUCUAAUCCUUAUUAUGAAGAACCAGACAUAAGCAGGUGUUCCUUCUGUCGUCGCAACUUUGGUAGGGACCGCUACAUGUCUGGGACAUAAUAUUUUGGAAGGUGUUCAUCGUUGCCCUGUAAUGUACUUCAUUAUUAUUUGAGCUACAUCUGGACUCCACAUUCCAAAUUUUUGGAAGUUUUCUUGAGAUCAGUAUAUGCUUGAAGUUACCUGUGACCGAUUUCUUAUGCAUUUGCUUUAUAAUUUAAUAAUUACUGAUUUAAUA